rnacentral:rRNA from 1 species
UAUAAUUAUUAUUAAAUUUUUAAAAAAAAUAUUUUUAUAUUAAUUAUUUUUAGGAAAAAUGGGUUAUUAUUAUAGUUUAGUAGUAUUGUGAAAGAAUUAUUUGUUAAAUUUUAAGAAUAAAAAUUUUUUUGUACCUUUGGUAUCAGGGCUUAUUAAUUAAAUUAUUUUUAUUAAUAUUUCUCGGUUUAAGAAGAGUUAAAUAUAUAUAAAUAUUAUUAUGAAAUAAAUAUUUAAAAUAUAUAUUUUGAGAUAAUACGUUAUUCGAUUUUUAAUAUAUCUAGUUUUUAAAGAAAAAAAUUUAAUUUUUUUUAUAGUUUUAAUAUAUUUAUUAGUGUUUAAUAUUUAUUUAAAUUAUAAAUUAUAGUUUUAGGGAUAAGCUUAAAAUUAAAAUUUUAAAAGUUAAUUAUUUAUAAAAAAAAUAGUAGGAUUAGAACUUUUUAUCAAAUUUUGUUAUAAUUUCUUUUUUUUGUUAAAAUAUUUUUAAUAAUUUUAAUUUUUUUAUUUAAAUAAUUAAUUUAAUUUUUUAAUUGAUGAAAUAAUGAUAAGAUUAGUAUAAUUUUAAUGUAUAUUUUAAUUAUUAUUUAAAGAUUAUUAAAAGGAAUUCGGCAAUUAAUAUUUUCUGCCUGUUUAAUAAAAACAUGUCUUUUUGAUAAUAAUUUAAAGUCUGACCUGCCCACUGAUACGUUAAAGGGCCGCAGUAUUUUGACUGUGCAAAGGUAGCAUAAUCAAUAGUUUUUUAAUUGAAAGCUUGAAUGAAUGGUUUGACAAGAAAAUAACUGUCUCUUUUUAAAAUUUAUUAGAAAUUUAUUUUUAAGUUAAAAAGCUUAAUUGAAUUUAAAAGACGAGAAGACCCUUUAGAAUUUUAUUAUUAAAUUAUUUGUUAUUAAUUUAGAAGUAUAUUAAUAAAAUUAUUUUAUUAAUUUUGUUGGGGUGAUGAAAAAAUUUAUUAAACUUUUUUAUUUAUAUUUCAUUAAUUUAUGUGUAUUUGAUCCAUUAUUUAUGAUUAUUAGAUUAAAUUACCUAAGGGAUAACAGCGUAAUUUUUUUUGAGAGUUCUUAUUAAAAAAAAAGUUUGCGACCUCGAUGUUGGAUUAAAAUUAAUUUUUGGUGUAGAAGCUAAAAAUUUUAGGUCUGUUCGACCUUUAAAAUUUUACAUGAUCUGAGUUUAAACCGGUGUGAGCCAGGUUGGUUUCUAUCUUUAAAAAUAUUAUAAUAAUUUAGUACGAAAGGACCAAUUAUU